UACGGAGGAUGCGAGCGUUAUCCGGAUUUAUUGGGUUUAAAGGGUGCGUAGGCGGCUUUUUAAGUCAGCGGUGAAAUUUUGCAGCUUAACUGUAGGAAUAGCCGUUGAAACUGUGUUUCUUGAGUACAAUUUGAGGUAGGCGGAAUGUGGUGUGUAGCGGUGAAAUGCGUAGAUAUACCACAGAACACCGAUUUGCGAAGGCAGCUUACUAAACUGUCACUGACGCUGAUGCACGAAAGCGUGGUAUCAAACAGGAUUAGAUACCCGGGUAGU
rnacentral:rRNA from 1 species